GAUAAAUGACUUGCAGUGGGCAAGUGUUCAUAGCAACGUUGCUUUUUCAUUCUUCAAUAUCAGUUUUUUCUAUCAUUGUGAUAUAAAAUUUGUCAAGCUUUGUAUUGUUCACCCACUAAUAUGGAAUGUGAGCUGGGUUUAGACCGUUGUGAGACAGGUU
rnacentral:ncRNA from 1 species